rnacentral:tRNA from 1 species
GUGGGUGUAGCUCAGUUGGUAGAGCACUUGGUUGUGGCCCAAGAGGCCGAGGGUUCAAACCCCUUCACUCACCCCA